GAGAGUUUGAUCCUGGCUCAGGAUGAACGCUAGCUACAGGCUUAACACAUGCAAGUCGAGGGGCAGCAUGGUCUUAGCUUGCUAAGGCCGAUGGCGACCGGCGCACGGGUGAGUAACACGUAUCCAACCUGCCGUCUACUCUUGGACAGCCUUCUGAAAGGAAGAUUAAUACAAGAUGGCAUCAUGAGUCCGCAUGUUCACAUGAUUAAAGGUAUUCCGGUAGACGAUGGGGAUGCGUUCCAUUAGAUAGUAGGCGGGGUAACGGCCCACCUAGUCUUCGAUGGAUAGGGGUUCUGAGAGGAAGGUCCCCCACAUUGGAACUGAGACACGGUCCAAACUCCUACGGGAGGCAGCAGUGAGGAAUAUUGGUCAAUGGGCGAGAGCCUGAACCAGCCAAGUAGCGUGAAGGAUGACUGCCCUAUGGGUUGUAAACUUCUUUUAUAAAGGAAUAAAGUCGGGUAUGGAUACCCGUUUGCAUGUACUUUAUGAAUAAGGAUCGGCUAACUCCGUGCCAGCAGCCGCGGUAAUACGGAGGAUCCGAGCGUUAUCCGGAUUUAUUGGGUUUAAAGGGAGCGUAGAUGGAUGUUUAAGUCAGUUGUGAAAGUUUGCGGCUCAACCGUAAAAUUGCAGUUGAUACUGGAUAUCUUGAGUGCAGUUGAGGCAGGCGGAAUUCGUGGUGUAGCGGUGAAAUGCUUAGAUAUCACGAAGAACUCCAAUUGCGAAGGCAGCCUGCUAAGCUGCAACUGACAUUGAGGCUCGAAAGUGUGGGUAUCAAACAGGAUUAGAUACCCUGAUAGUCCACACGGUAAACGAUGAAUACUCGCUGUUUGCGAUAUACUGCAAGCGGCCAAGCGAAAGCGUUAAGUAUUCCACCUGGGGAGUACGCCGGCAACGGUGAAACUCAAAGGAAUUGACGGGGGCCCGCACAAGCGGAGGAACAUGUGGUUUAAUUCGAUGAUACGCGAGGAACCUUACCCGGGCUUAAAUUGCAGAUGAAUUACGGUGAAAGCCGUAAGCCGCAAGGCAUCUGUGAAGGUGCUGCAUGGUUGUCGUCAGCUCGUGCCGUGAGGUGUCGGCUUAAGUGCCAUAACGAGCGCAACCCUUGUUGUCAGUUACUAACAGGUUCUGCUGAGGACUCUGACAAGACUGCCAUCGUAAGAUGUGAGGAAGGUGGGGAUGACGUCAAAUCAGCACGGCCCUUACGUCCGGGGCUACACACGUGUUACAAUGGGGGGUACAGAGGGCCGCUACCACGCGAGUGGAUGCCAAUCCCAAAAACCUCUCUCAGUUCGGACUGGAGUCUGCAACCCGACUCCACGAAGCUGGAUUCGCUAGUAAUCGCGCAUCAGCCACGGCGCGGUGAAUACGUUCCCGGGCCUUGUACACACCGCCCGUCAAGCCAUGGGAGCCGGGGGUACCUGAAGUGCGUAACCGCGAGGAGCGCCCUAGGGUAAAACUGGUGACUGGGGCUAAGUCGUAACAAGGUAGCCG
rnacentral:rRNA from 1 species